rnacentral:rRNA from 1 species
CUAAAAUGCACAGGUCGUGAGUUCGAUGAGUAGGGCGGGACACGUGACAUCCUGUCUGAAUAUGGGGGGACCAUCCUCCAAGGCUAAAUACUCCUGACUGACCGAUAGUGAACCAGUACCGUGAGGGAAAGGCGAAAAGAACCCCGGCGAGGGGAGUGAAAUAGAACCUGAAACCGUGUACGUACAAGCAGUGGGAGCACCUUCGUGGUGUGACUGCGUACCUUUUGUAUAAUGGGUCAGCGACUUAUAUUUUGUAGCAAGGUUAACCGUAUAGGGGAGCCGUAGGGAAACCGAGUCUUAACUGGGCGAAUAGUUGCAAGGUAUAGACCCGAAACCCGGUGAUCUAGCCAUGGGCAGGUUGAAGGUUGGGUAACACUAACUGGAGGACCGAACCGACUAAUGUUGAAAAAUUAGCGGAUGACUUGUGGCUGGGGGUGAAAGGCCAAUCAAACCGGGAGAUAGCUGGUUCUCCCCGAAAGCUAUUUAGGUAGCGCCUCGUGAACUCAUCUUCGGGGGUAGAGCACUGUUUCGGCUAGGGGGCCAUCCCGGCUUACCAAACCGAUGCAAACUCCGAAUACCGAAGAAUGUUAUCACGGGAGACACACGGCGGGUGCUAACGUCCGUCGUGAAGAGGGAAACAACCCAGACCGCCAGCUAAGGUCCCAAAGUCAUGGUUAAGUGGGAAACGAUGUGGGAAGGCAUAGACAGCCAGGAUGUUGGCUUAGAAGCAGCCAUCAUUUAAAGAAAGCGUAAUAGCUCACUGGUCGAGUCGGCCUGCGCGGAAGAUGUAACGGGGCUAAACCAUGCACCGAAGCUGCGGCAGCGACGUUUAGGCGUUGUUGGGUAGGGGAGCGUUCUGUAAG